AAAGCAAUCGGCGGCUAUACAUGCAAGUCGGACGGGAUCCAUCGGUAGCUUGCUACCGAUGGUGAGAGUGGCGCACGGGUGCGUAACGCGUGAGCAACCUGCCCAUAUCAGGGGGAUAGCCCGGAGAAAUCCGGAUUAACACCGCAUGACACUGCUUUCCGGCAUCGGGAGGUAGUCAAAUAUUCAUAGGAUAUGGAUGGGCUCGCGUGACAUUAGCUAGUUGGUGGGGUAACGGCCCACCAAGGCGACGAUGUCUAGGGGCUCUGAGAGGAGAAUCCCCCACACUGGUACUGAGACACGGACCAGACUCCUACGGGAGGCAGCAGUAAGGAAUAUUGGUCAAUGGGGGCAACCCUGAACCAGCCAUGCCGCGUGCAGGACGACUGCCCUAUGGGUUGUAAACUGCUUUUGUUAGGGAAUAAACCCCGCUACGUGUAGCGGGCUGAAUGUACCUAAAGAAUAAGGAUCGGCUAACUCCGUGCCAGCAGCCGCGGUAAUACGGAGGAUCCGAGCGUUAUCCGGAUUUAUUGGGUUUAAAGGGUGCGUAGGCGGCACUUUAAGUCAGGGGUGAAAGACGGCAGCUCAACUGUCGCAGUGCCCUUGAUACUGAAGUGCUUGAAUGCGGUUGAAGACGGCGGAAUGAGACAAGUAGCGGUGAAAUGCAUAGAUAUGUCUCAGAACACCGAUUGCGAAGGCAGCUGUCUAAGCCGUUAUUGACGCUGAUGCACGAAAGCGUGGGGAUCGAACAGGAUUAGAUACCCUGGUAGUCCACGCCCUAAACGAUGAUGACUCGAUGUUUGCGAUAUACCGUAAGCGUCCAAGCGAAAGCGUUAAGUCAUCCACCUGGGGAGUACGCCCGCAAAGGGUGAAACUCAAAGGAAUUGACGGGGGCCCGCACAAGCGGAGGAGCAUGUGGUUUAAUUCGAUGAUACGCGAGGAACCUUACCCGGGCUUGAAGUUACUGAAAGGGCGCAGAGACGCGCCCGUCCUUCGGGACAGGAAACUAGGUGCUGCAUGGCUGUCGUCAGCUCGUGCCGUGAGGUGUGGGUUAAGGUCCCGCAACGAGCGCACCCCUAUGUUUAGUGCUGAGCAGCGUCCAAGGUGGGGACCUCUAAACAAGACUGCCUGCGCAGCCC
rnacentral:rRNA from 1 species